CGGUGCAAACCCUCCAGGGUCUGGAAGGCCAUUCUGGUUUCAGCAUGAUGGCUCUUUUUUUCCUACCUUUCUUUUUUCAGUAUGGAUGGCUGUGGGAUUUAUACACCGCCCACAGCUCCUGUUUAUGUAUCAGAGGCCCCUGCUGCCUCACACACCUGCAUGAAAGUGUCCAUCUGGACGUGCUGCAGGUCCAACUGAGCAAACUCUUUGCAUUGCGUUCCAAGUCCUGAAAAGAAUUCGCCUUUCUCCUGUUAAAGGCUAUCUAGCUGGGCCAGCAGAGCACAGCCGCCUGUCAUCCCCAAAGCCUUUGUCUUUGUCACAAACCCCCAUGGCUUUCAUCAGAAGUUCAUUCCUACAGACUAGCUCGCACAGAGGAGGGGCUGUGGACAUGGACUCAGCCCAUCAGACCAGGACUUACAGCGGUGGCAUCUGUGUGUGGGUCUCCCUCUGUCGGCAUCUCCUAGGAGUCCGUCUAUGAGCUGUGAGGAGAUGGUACAGGGACAGCAGAUCUUCCCUGGGAACUUCUCAGGAACUUGCCAUCAAGAGUGCCUGGACGCUCUGCCCUUCUAAACUGUGUGGAGACUGUGAAGGAUUAUGGAGACUUUUGCAGGUGGAUUCAAUGCGGUUUGCAUUUUGAUGGAGCCCCGAGAAGAAGUGGAGGGACUGUUGUGGUUUGAAUAAAAGUUCUUCCCGCACCGUAGGCUCAGACCUUUGGAAGCUUGGUCCCCAGUUGGUGACACUGUUUGGGAGGUUUAGGAGGUGUGGCUUGCAUUUAUCAUUGAGGGCGGGUUCCCUCUGCUUCCUACUUGAGGUUGUUUUGUUCCUGAGGUCAUGU